GAUGAACGCUGGCGGCGUGCUUAACACAUGCAAGUCGAACGGAAAGGCCUCUGCUUGCAGGGGUACUCGAGUGGCGAACGGGUGAGUAACACGUGGGUGAUCUGCCCUGCACUUCGGGAUAAGCCUGGGAAACUGGGUCUAAUACCGGAUAGGACAAUGGUUUGGAUGCUGUUGUGGAAAGUUUUUCGGUGUGGGAUGAGCUCGCGGCUUAUCAGCUUGUUGGUGGGGUAGUGGCUUACCAAGGCUUUGACGGGUAGCCGGCCUGAGAGGGUGACCGGCCACAUUGGGACUGAGAUACGGCCCAGACUCCUACGGGAGGCAGCAGUGGGGAAUAUUGCACAAUGGGCGGAAGCCUGAUGCAGCAACGCCGCGUGCGGGAUGACGGCCUUCGGGUUGUAAACCGCUUUCGCCUGUGACGAAGCGUGAGUGACGGUAAUGGGUAAAGAAGCACCGGCUAACUACGUG
rnacentral:rRNA from 1 species